rnacentral:lncRNA from 1 species
UCUCAUGAAUUAUGGAAUACUCAUUUAAGGGGUUUUCCUAAAAGUCACUUUUUCCUUCCCACUGAGGCCAGCCACAGGCAGAAUGAUGAAGUCAGCAAAGUUCAUCUUUGGCAAUUUCAAAUUCCCCUUCUAGAGCCCAUUUCCUACUCCCAAAUACUGUCCCAUGGCUCCCACAAAAGGAAACUUGCCCUCCCCAGUAUACAAGAUUAUCUUCUCAGACUCAGUAACUAUUAAAGAUAGAAGGGACUUAAGUCACAUUUGUAUUGGAGUUUGUAGAUUUACAGGGUGCAAUUAUUGUUGUAACCCAUAUGAGGGAGUCUUAUUCUGAUCCCAGAUUCCAGAUAUUUUGAUCAUUAUAAUCUUCUCCAAACGAAAGCUUAUAAGCCCCCAAUAUUUUACUUUUACCAGUUAGCUAUAGAAAGCACUAGGGACAAUGAAGGAAAAGUGGAUAGAGCACCAGGCCUGGAGUUGGGAGGACAUAGGUUCAAAUCUGACCUCAGAUACUUUCUAACAGUGUGACCCUUGGCAUGUCACAUAACCCUGAUUGCCUAGCCCUUGCCAUUCUUCUGUCUUAGAAUUGAUUUGGAGACAGAAAAUAAGUGUUCUGAAAGAAAAGGAAAAAAAAAACCAGUUUCUAACAAAAACAUUUUAAUUAAACUUACUCUCCCUAAAUACAUAUGUAUUCAGCAGGAAGAAUAGAGCCUUAUUAUAUUUAUGUUCAAGGUUUACAUGCAUGGGAAUAUGUGAAGCGCCACUUAUGGAAGAAUGUACAUCCAGAAACCACACAUAAACAGGAUAUAUUCGUGACAAGACAACCUCCCAAACUGCAAAGCUUUGAGUUGUCUACUGAUGUCAUUGAAAUAUUCUCUGACAAACCUGCUCCCCACAAGAUUCCUCCAAGUUGUUCAGGAUCAGGGGGCAGAGCCAUUUCUACGCUUGCUCUUACAGACCACAAAGACACGAGGUCCCUCUGCUAAAGGUCUGUCUGUCCCCUCCGAUUUUCCAGUUCUAAUCAUCUUUGGUUCAGCUGCUGUCACUGGGGAUCAAUCAUCCCAGAGAGAGGCUAAUGCAUAUGAUUAGCUCCAGGCUACAGAGGUUCAUGCCCUGCAAUCUCCUCCAGUAGAUUGGAGGGACUCAGGAAAUCGAGCAGAGAUUUUCCCGGAGUGACCCAGAAUCCUCCUAUUCAAGGCAUGGAUUCAGAAGUCAAAAGCCUCGACCUGGGUGUCAAAAGGCCGUUGUCUUAUUUGAUCCUCACCUGGGACGUCACUAAGACAAUUAUUUCCUUCCUCAGUUAGCGGAUGGAGAAACUGUACGUCUGAGAUGACAACAAUAGCGUAGUGCCUGAUACAGAGGAGGGACGUUCUGACUCCGAGUUCUUGAGCUGAUUUUCUUUGAACUAAAACUCAGGUUGCUAGAGGUGGAAUAAUCUGGUCACAGCCAUUCACCAGGU